AAAAAGUAAAUUGUUGGACUGGUAUAACAGUGCCACUUUUUGGGGACACCAAGCUGAGACUAGGGGAUAAAAUGAUCACUGGGCAAUUAUUGUAUGUACCCAAGGCAGGGACUAACUUGUUGGGAAAGGAUUUGAUAAUGAAAUUGGGCAUUCAAAUAGUAAAUUGUUAGGCUGG